rnacentral:rRNA from 1 species
AUUGAACGCUGGCGGCAUGCCUUACACAUGCAAGUCGAACGGUAACGGGCCUUCGGGUUCCGACGAGUGGCGAACGGGUGAGUAAUACAUCGGAACGUGCCCGAUCGUGGGGUAUAACGAGGCGAAAGCUUUGCUAAUACCGCAUACGAUCUACGGAUGAAAGCAGGGGACCGCAAGGGCUUGUGCGGACGGGGCGGCCGAUGGCAGAUUAGGUAGUUGGUGGGAUAAAAGCUUACCAAGCCGACGAUCUGUAGCUGGUCUGAGAGGAUGAUCAGCCACACUGGAACUGAGACACGGCCCAGACUCCUACGGGAGGCAGCAGUGGGGAAUUUUGGACAAUGGGCGCAAGCCUGAUCCAGCCAUGCCGCGUGCAGGAUGAAGGCCUUCGGGUUGUAAACUGCUUUUGUACGGAACGAAAAGCCUUCUUUUAAUACAGGAGGGUCAUGACGGUACCGUAAGAAUAAGCACCGGCUAACUACGUG